rnacentral:lncRNA from 1 species
GCCUGGUAUUCAUAUGAUGAAGACAUAAUCUUUCAUUCAGUUUAAUUGAGGUCUGGAGCUGGCAUGUCAGUAACUGCUAGUAGUCUGUUGUUAUUUAUGUAUUAUUGUCAUUUUCUUUAUUUCUUUUGUUUCAUAUUAUGACAUCGGACUCGGACUUCUCUUAAACUGAGUUUUACUGUACGUAUUGUUGUGCGUUUAUUUUUCUACAUUGGCUAGAGGUAUAGAGAGAGGGUUGAGAUCUCAAAAAGCAUCUUUAACCCCGCCGCAAUUUUGCGACUGUCCCAAGUCAGGAGCCUCUGGCCUUUGUUAGUCUUGUAUGAUUUUUAAUUUUCGUUUCUUGUGUAUAAUACGGCGUUUAUUAUGGCGUUCAUUAUCACUGAACUAUUACAUAUUUGUUUAGGGGCCAGCAGAAGGACGCUUCCGGAUGCGGGAGUUUCUCGCUACAUUGAAGACCCAUUGGUGGCCUUCCGCUGUUGUUUGCUCUAUGGUCGGG